CCUACGGGGGGCAGCAGUGAGGAAUAUUGGUCAAUGGGCGCGAGCCUGAACCAGCCAAGUAGCGUGAAGGAUGACUGCCCUACGGGUUGUAAACUUCUUUUAUAAAGGAAUAAAGUGAGGCACGUGUGCCUUUUUGUAUGUACUUUAUGAAUAAGGAUCGGCUAACUCCGUGCCAGUAGCCGCGGUAAUACGGAGGAUCCGAGCGUUAUCCGGAUUUAUUGGGUUUAAAGGGGGCGUAGGUGGGUUGAUAAGUCAGUUGUGAAAGUUUGCGGCUCAACCGUAAAAUUGCAAUUGAUACUGGCAGCCUUGAGUACAGUUGAGGUAGGCGGAAUUCGUGGUGUAGCGGUGAAAUGCUUAGAUAUCACGAAGAACUCCGAUUGCGAAGGCAGCUUACUAAACUGCAACUGACGUUGAUGCUCGAAAGUGUGGGUAUCAAACAGGAUUAGAUACCCGAGUAGUC
rnacentral:rRNA from 1 species